rnacentral:sRNA from 1 species
ACAACACUCGCGACCCCGCAGCUAAGCUCAGCUCCCGACGCAAUGGACCCGGCGCUGGCAGCCCAGAUGAGCGAGGCUGUGGCCGAGAAGAUGCUCCAGUACCGGCGGGACGCAGCAGGCUGGAAGAUUUGCCGGGAAGGCGUGAGUGAGGAGCUGGGCGGGAAGGGGUCGCGGAGACGGCUUCGUGGAGCCCGGGUCCCCAGAAGCCCCCAAGCCCCUCCUCUCCCCGUUGUUUUCUGCACCCCAAUCCCCUGGACCCGAUUGAGAGGGAUUCCAAUGGGGAUUGUUUUCUUCUUUAAAAAAAAGAUUGGGCCUGUUAUGCUCACAAUGACUUCAGGUGGUUAAGUAUCUGUUCCUUUCACUCAGUGACUUGCCCAAGGUCACCUGGCUGUUGAAUGCUGUUUAGGACUGGAACCCGAACACCAGCCUCUAAAGCCUUUACUCUGUUCAUUACAGCAUGAACCCCUCUCUUUGUCGUUGCCAGAGGGUAGCAUGGGAAUAGUUUUGCUUGACCCUUCUGACUUAACAAGUAGCCCUUGGUUGCUCAAGGAAACAAAAUGCCUGGUGGCUUUUAAGUUAAUUUGAAAACCACCCGCGGCUCUUGGAGUCAGCCAGUUAAGAUCUUUUUCUUCAUCACAUUCUGCUGUGGGGACAGCUUUGCCCAAGACUAGUCCCAGCUUUUCCACGUAUGGGUUGCACAGCCUUGGAGAGUCGUAUCUCUUGAGGCCUCUUACCCCUCUUCUGUAGAACAGGGGAUUAAGUCAGGUGACCAGAGCCCUUCUAGCUCUAAAAUUCUGUGAUUCUGUGCCUUUUGACAGAAUGGAGUUUCAGUUUCCUGGAGGCCAUCUAUGGAGUUUCCAGGGAACCUGUAAGUGCAUCCCUCCUUCAAAGCUUACCAGAGGUGCCGCACCCUUCCUGGUAUCUUUAUGGGUCUGCCUCCUAAAAUAUUCAAAUCAACCGUAUAACCUGUGAUCACUUGUCCUCCAGAAAAGCCUUACUGUUUUUAAUGAAAUCAUUUCUAGCAAACUGUAUUCUUGUGAAAGCUUACUGUCCAUUUCUGCAGGCCUGAAGGGAGGUGGGGCUAGUGAGUUUCAGCCCCUUCCCUGCAAGCCUGUCCUAAAGAGUAGUGACAGACAUGGCAUGGUCCACCUUCUAGUCCUUAGAUACAAUCUCAAGAUAACAAGUUUGAUUGAUGCAUUUGGGUCAAAUUCCUUUUUGUGCUCCAGGUACCGAGGAGAAGGCAUUGUAUAUGGGACACUAGAGGAGGUGUGGGACUGUGUGAAGCCAGCUGUUGGAGGCCUACGAGUGAAGUGGGAUGAGAAUGUGACCGGUUUUGAAAUUAUCCAAAGCAUCACUGACACCCUGUGUGUAAGCAGAACCUCCACUCCCUCCGCUGCUAUGAAGCUCAUUUCUCCCAGAGAUUUUGUGGACUUGGUGCUAGUCAAGAGAUAUGAGGAUGGGACCAUCAGUUCCAACGCCACCCAUGUGGAACAUCCGUUAUGUCCCCCAAAGCCAGGUUUUGUGAGAGGAUUUAACCAUCCUUGUGGUUGCUUCUGUGAACCUCUUCCAGGGGAACCCACCAAGACCAACCUGGUCACAUUCUUCCAUACCGACCUCAGCGGUUACCUCCCACAGAACGUGGUGGACUCCUUCUUCCCCCGCAGCAUGACCCGGUUUUAUGCCAACCUUCAGAAAGCAGUGAAGCAAUUCCAUGAGUAAUGCUAUCGUUACUUCUUGGCAAAGAACUCCCGUGACUCAUCGAGGAGCUCCAGCUGUUGGGACACCAAGGAGCCUGGGAGCACGCAGAGGCCUGUGUUCACUCUUUGGAAUAAGCUGAUGGACUGCGCAUCUCUGAGAAUGCCAACCAGAGGCGGCAGCCCACCUUUCCUGCUUCCUGCCCCACUCAGGGUGGCGUGUGAUGAGCCAUUCAUGUGCUCCAAACUCCAUCUGCUUGUUACCCAAACAUGCCUCUCCUGGCAGGGUAGACCCAGGCCUCUAACCAUCUGACAGGGACUCGGCCUGGACACCAUGCGAUGCACUCUGGCCCCAAGCCUUUAUGUGCCCAUCACUCUCAGAGACCACGUUUCCCUGACUGUCAUAGAGAAUCAUCAUCGCCACUGAAAACCAGGCCCUGUUGCCUUUUAAGCAUGUACAGCUCCCUCAGUCCUAUGCUGCAGACACCCAAAUAUAUUUUUCUGAUAUAGACCUUGUAUAUGGCUUUAAUGCCGCAAAAUAUUUUUUUUUUCCUUAAAAAAGGUGUCAACUUGGAAAAUAAUGGUUUAAAAACAGGAUAAGCAUUAAGGAAAAGC